rnacentral:lncRNA from 1 species
AUGGAAAGUUUUUUGUAUCUCGCAUCCAUGAAAUACAGCCAGAUCAACACUAAACCCUCCUGCACACCUAGAAAACUAAUUGGAGGAUUAACACCACAAUCUUCACAACCUGAACCACAGAACUCAGCAGAAAGCCAGCUUAUUGGAGGACCCACUCGUAGUUAUCAAUAAAAGGAGUGUAGCUCUCUGCUAGUGAGGCUUUGUCCAUGCUUCUUCAUCAUCUGGCAGGUAAGAUGUGCUUAACAAAUAUUUGAUGAAUGAGCAAAUGAAUAAAUAAAUAAAGCAUUCAACUCUGAAGGACGUC